AUUGAACGCUGGCGGCAGGCUUAACACAUGCACGUCGAGCGAGCGGCGGACGGGUGAGUAAUGUCUGGGAAACUGCCUGAUGGAGGGGGAUAACUACUGGAAACGGUAGAUACUACCGCAUACCAUCAGAUGUGCCCAGAUGGUAUUAGCUAGUAGGGGGGGUAAUGGCUCACCUAGGAGACGAUCCCUAGCUGGUCUGAGAGGAUGACCAGCCACACGGGAACUGGGACACGGUCCAGACCCCUACGGGAGGCAGCAGGGGGGAAUAUUGCACAAGGGGCGCAAGCCUGAUGCAGCCAUGCCGCGUGUGUGAAGAAGGCCUUCGGGUUGUAAAGCACUUUCAGCGAGGAGGCGUUACUCGCAGAAGAAGCACCGGCGAAGUACGUGACAGCAGCCGCGGUAAUUC
rnacentral:rRNA from 1 species